rnacentral:rRNA from 1 species
GGUGAACGCUGGCGGCGUGCUUAACACAUGCAAGUCGAACGGAAAGGCCCAAGCUUGCUUGGGUACUCGAGUGGCGAACGGGUGAGUAACACGUGGGUGAUCUGCCCUGCACUUCGGGAUAAGCCUGGGAAACUGGGUCUAAUACCGGAUAGGACCACUUCUUGGAUGUUGUGGUGGAAAGUUUUUUCGGUGUGGGAUGAGCUCGCGGCCUAUCAGCUUGUUGGUGGGGUAAUGGCCUACCAAGGCGUCGACGGGUAGCCGGCCUGAGAGGGUGUACGGCCACAUUGGGACUGAGAUACGGCCCAGACUCCUACGGGAGGCAGCAGUGGGGAAUAUUGCACAAUGGGCGCAAGCCUGAUGCAGCGACGCCGCGUGGGGGAUGACGGCCUUCGGGUUGUAAACUCCUUUCGCUAGGGACGAAGCGUUUUGUGACGGUACCUGGAGAAGAAGCACCGGCUAACUACGUG